rnacentral:rRNA from 1 species
UACGUAGGGUGCAAGCGUUGUCCGGAAUUAUUGGGCGUAAAGAGCUCGUAGGCGGCCUGUCACGUCGACUGUGAAAACCCGGGGCUCAACUCCGGGCCUGCAGUCGAUACGGGCUGGCUUGAGUGCGGUAGGGGAGACUGGAAUUCCUGGUGUAGCGGUGAAAUGCGCAGAUAUCGGGAGGAACACCAGUGGCGAAGGCGGCACUCUGGGCCGGUACUGACGCUGAGGAGCGAAAGCGUGGGGAGCGAACAGG